AGAGUUUGAUCCUGGCUCAGAACGAACGCUGGCGGCGUGGAUUAGGCAUGCAAGUCGAACGAUCCUUUAUUGGAUAGUGGCAAACGGGUGAGUAAUGCGUGGGCAAUUUUCCUUACAGACUGGGAUAACACCGCGAAAGCGAUGCUAAUACCGGAUAAGACCACACCAUCGUAGGGUGGAGUGGUAAAAGGCGGGGACCCUUCGGGGCCUGUCACUGAAAGAUGAGCCUAUGUCCUAUCAGCUUGUUGGUGGGGUAAUGGCCUACCAAGGCAUUUGACGGGUAGCUGGUCUGAGAUGAUGGUCAGCCACACUGGGACUGAGACACUGCCCAGACUCCUACGGGAGGCUGCAGUCGAGAAUCUUUUGCAAUGCCCGCAAGGGUGACAAUGCGACGCCGCGUGAGGGAUGAAGGCCUUCGGGUCGUAAACCUCUGUCACUGGGGAUGAAUACCGACGAUCGAAUAGGUCGAAGGAAUGACGGUACCCAGAGAGGAAGCCACGGCUAACUCCGUGCCAGCAGCCGCGGUAAUACGGGGGUGGCAAGCGUUGUUCGGAUUGACUGGGUGUAAGGGGUAUGUAGGCGUCCCAAUAAGUCAAGUGUGAAAUCCCAUGGCUCAACCAUGGAACUGCAUUUGAAACUGUCGGGAUUGAGUGAAGGAGAGGGGAAUGGAAUUCUCGGUGUAAGGGUGAAAUCUGUAGAGAUCGAGAAGAACACCAGUGGCGAAAGCGAUUCCCUGGCCUUUUACUGACGCUGAAAUACGAAAGCUAGGGGAGCGAACAGGAUUAGAUACCCUGGUAGUCCUAGCCGUAAACGAUGGGCACUAGGUGUAGGCUCUUUUAGGGUCUGUGCCGCAGUUAACACAUUAAGUGCCCCACCUGGGGACUACGGCCGCAAGGUUGAAACUCAAAGGAAUUGACGGGGACCCGCACAAGCGGUGGAGCAUGUGGUUUAAUACGACGCUACGCGUGGAACCUUACCAGGGCUUGACAUGUAUUUGCAAUCCUUCUGAAAAGUUGGACCUGCCUUCAAGCACAGAUACACAGGUGUUGCAUGGCUGUCGUCAGCUCGUGUCGUGAGAUGUUGGGUUAAGUCCCGCAACGAGCGCAACCAUCGCCCUAUGUUGCUAACCUGCUAGUCAGGUGCACUCUUAGGGGACUGCCAGUGAUAAACUGGAGGAAGGUGGAGAUGACGUCAAGUCAGUACGGCCCUUACGCCCUGGGCAACACACGUGCUACAAUCCCCGCUACAAUGGGCAGCGAUACCGUAAGGUGGAGCAAAUCCCAAAAAAGCGGGGUCAGUUCAGAUUGAGGGCUGCAAUUCGCCCUCAUGAAGCCGGAAUCGCUAGUAACCGCAGAUCAGAUAUGCUGCGGUGAAUACGUUCCCGGGUCUUGUACACACCGCCCGUCAAGCCACCUGAGUUGAAUGCACCCGAAGUCACUGACCCAACCCGCAAGGGAGGGAAGUGCCGAAGGUGUGUUUGAUAAGGAGGGCUAAGUCGGAACAAGGUA
rnacentral:rRNA from 1 species